GUCAACAUGUAUGCAAUCUGCAAAGUCUGUGAGAAGGAAUUUUCAAGCAUAUCGAUGAGAAACAGACAUCUUAAGAAGUUUCACCAAGAAUUUGUUGGCCAGGAAUACAAGAAACACAUUACAUGUCUAAUGUAUACCAACAGUACCCAGGUAUUUUGAAUAAUAUUGGAGGGCACAAAGGGGGAGAUUGAUUCUGAUUGUCAGAUCCGAAAUAAAUUUAAGAAUGGAGAAGAACAUAUAUUAUACAAUUAUAACAGGAGCGACAUUAAAAGAUUCAAUAUCUCAUGUAAAAAGAGAUGACACAAUAGAAAGGCCAAACUUGGUAACAAGAGGUAACGUGGCAUAUUUGAUAAGGAAAUAUAAUGUUGACAAGAAAAGAGACCAUUAUGAUAUGGUAGCCACUGCUUUAAGAAUUAAUGGGAAAGGAAAAAAUGGCCAAAGGAAAAAUUAUGCUUUGUUUUCAAAUCAAUUGAGCGCCGAAAACCUAACUGAAUUGCUUCAAAACGGAGAUGGAAUGAUGAGGGACAGACCCUCUGUGAAUAUAUUUAUUUAUGAAAAUGUAUAAAGAAAAGUUAUUUUUUUCUUUUAUGAUACUACAAAAAAAAUCUGUUGAAUGGAAGGUUGGGCUGUUUGUGACCAGCAGAGAUGACAAUGCUAGCUAAAGAAGUGCUAGUCUACAGACCAAGCAUGAUGGAUUUAGUUUCUUCUCUACCAUUUUAGUUUUAAGUUGUUGUUAUUAGUUAAUAUAAUACAUUUUUACCA